AAGUCGUAACAAGGUUUCCGUAGGUGAACCUGCGGAAGGAUCAUUAACACGUAUCCAACGUUAAACAACCCUGUGAACCUUCAGACAGUUCUUCUAGCCCACGCGGAACAGCAAUCCCGGUAAAUCAAGUGGCGGAAAGUUUUUUUUGAUUCGGGACCUCUUUCCGAGUGGUAUCAAGUUAGAAUCCGAACUUGAGCAGUGGCAUGGUUUCCCUACGCAGUGCAGAAGGAUCCACUGAUAAGGAUGACGCCUCACGGUUGCUAGCGGUCGAUCACCGAUCAGCAGACAUGUCACAGGGCUUUACGCCCCUUCGUUCACACCUUGCCUAUUUAAGCCCCGCGGAAACGCCUGGGCUAAAAACCGAACAACUGUUAACAAUGGAUAUCUUGGUUCUC
rnacentral:misc_RNA from 1 species